rnacentral:rRNA from 1 species
GCCCAAACUCCUACGGGAGGCAGCAGUAGGGAAUCUUCCACAAUGGACGCAAGUCUGAUGGAGCAACGCCGCGUGAGUGAAGAAGGCUUUCGGGUCGUAAAACUCUGUUGUUGGAGAAGAAUGGUCGGCAGAGUAACUGUUGUCGGCGUGACGGUAUCCAACCAGAAAGCCACGGCUAACUACGUGCCAGCAGCCGCGGUAAUACGUAGGUGGCAAGCGUUAUCCGGAUUUAUUGGGCGUAAAGCGAGCGCAGGCGGUUUUUUAAGUCUGAUGUGAAAGCCCUCGGCUUAACCGAGGAAGCGCAUCGGAAACUGGGAAACUUGAGUGCAGAAGAGGACAGUGGAACUCCAUGUGUAGCGGUGAAAUGCGUAGAUAUAUGGAAGAACACCAGUGGCGAANGCGGCUGUCUGGUCUGUAACUGACGCUGAGGCUCGAAAGCAUGGGUAGCGAACAGGAUUAGAUACCCUGGUAGUCCAUGCCGUAAACGAUGAAUGCUAGGUGUUGGAGGGUUUCCGCCCUUCAGUGCCGCAGCUAACGCAUUAAGCAUUCCGCCUGGGGAGUACGACCGC